AAGACUAUACUUUCAGAGAUAAUUUCUAUAGUAACUAAUUUUGAUAUGUGAUUUGAAAGCGAUAUGUCUCCCUGGUCACGAUGAUGAGCUGUGAUGUUCUUUUCUGAGCAUGAAUUGGAUAUGAGCUAAUGAUUCUCUCAUGAUUCUUCUCCUCAGCGCAUGUAGGAUGUUUUGGAGACAAGGAGAAGGAGGCACGAUUGAGAUAG